UGUCAGUGCCAUCACCUGCCCCAGGUGUACCGAUGAGAAUGACUGGACGUCAUGUACUGACACACAAACAUGUAACGGGAAUGAUGACACUUGCCAGCUGGUUGUGGAGAAUGACGGCAGCAGACACAGAGUGAACUACCACUGCACACACAGCCAGAACUGUCAACAACAUGAGACCCAACACUGUGACAUCACCGUACAUGGACACUGCACCUUCUGCUGCGACACCAUCGCUUCCUGCAGAAAUCAGAGAGAGGGAAUCUUCGACUCUUUGGCGUAAUUAUACACGAAAUGAUUCACACACUGAAAUGAUGGAAGACCAUAUGUUUAACAAAUAAUGUCACAGGAACAUUCAAAUUUGUUCACCUGAGAUCGUAGAGAUGUAUUAGCACAAUAGCACAUUUUUAAGAACAAUAAAAUUUCGUACGAAACAAA
rnacentral:sRNA from 1 species